CAGUAGCCGCGGUAAUACGGAGGAUCCAAGCGUUAUCCGGAAUCAUUGGGUUUAAAGGGUCCGUAGGCGGUCUUGUAAGUCAGUUGUGAAAGCCCAUCGCUCAACGGUGGAACGGCCAUUGAUACUGCAGGACUUGAAUUAUUGGGAAGUAACUAGAAUAUGUAGUGUAGCGGUGAAAUGCUUAGAGAUUACAUGGAAUACCAAUUGCGAAGGCAGGUUACUACCAAUUGAUUGACGCUGAUGGACGAAAGCGUGGGUAGCGAACAGGAUUAGAUACCCGCGUAGUCCCUGUCUCUUAUAC
rnacentral:rRNA from 1 species